rnacentral:rRNA from 1 species
AUUGAACGCUGGCGGCAGGCCUAACACAUGCAAGUCGGACGGUAGCACAGAGGAGCUUGCUCUUCGGGUGACGAGUGGCGGACGGGUGAGUAAUGUCUGGGGAUCUGCCCGAUAGAGGGGGAUAGCCACUGGAAACGCUGGCUAAUACCGCAUAACGUCGCAAGACCAAAGAGGGGGACCUUCGGGCCUCUCACUAUCGGAUGAACCCAGAUGGGAUUAGCUAGUAGGCGGGGUAACGGCCCACCUAGGCGACGAUCCCUAGCUGGUCUGAGAGGAUGACCAGCCACACUGGAACUGAGACACGGUCCAGACUCCUACGAGAGGCAGCAGUGGGGAAUAUUGCACAAUGGGCGCAAGCCUGAUGCAGCCAUGCCGCGUGUAUGAAGAAGGCCUUCGGGUUGUAAAGUACUUUCAGCGGGGAGGAAGGCGAUGUGGUUAAUAACCGCGUCGAUUGACGUUACCCGCAGAAGAAGCACCGGCUAACUCCGUGCCAGCAGCCGCGGUAA